rnacentral:rRNA from 1 species
GAGCGCCGUAGCAAUACGGAGCGGCAGACGGGAGAGUAACACGUGGGAACGUGCCCUUCAGUUCGGAACAACCCAGGGAAACUGGGUCUAAUACCGGAUAUGACCAUGGGAUGCAUGUCUUGUGGUGGAAAGAUUUAUCGGUGCGAGAUGAGCCCGCGGCCUAUCAGCUUGUUGGUGGGGUAAUGGCCUACCAAGGCGACGACGGGUAGCCGGCCUGAGAGGGCGAUCGGCCACACUGGGACUGAGACACGGCCCAGACUCCUACGGGAGGCAGCAGUGGGGAAUAUUGCACAAUGGGCGCAAGCCUGAUGCAGCGACGCCGCGUGGGGGAUGACGGCCUUCGGGUUGUAAACCUCUUUCGGCAGGGACGAAGCGUGAGUGACGGUAUCUGCAGAAGAAGCACCGUCCAUCUAGGUGCCAGCAGCCGCGGU